UACAGAGGUCUCAAGCGUUGUUCGGAUUCAUUGGGCGUAAAGGGCGCGUAGGCGGCAAGGCAAGUCGGGUGUGAAAGCUUGGGGCUUAACCCCGAAAGGGCACUCGAAACUGCCCUGCUAGAGGGCCGGAGAGGAGAUCGGAAUUCACGGUGUAGCAGUGAAAUGCGUAGAGCUCGUGAGGAAGACCGGUGGCGAAGGCGGAUCUCUGGACGGCCCCUGACGCUGAGGCGCGAAGGCUAGGGGAGCAAACGGG
rnacentral:rRNA from 1 species